rnacentral:rRNA from 1 species
UACAGAGGGGGCAAACGUUGUUCGGAAUUACUGGGCGUAAAGGGCGCGUAGGCGGCCUGUUAAGUCGAACGUGAAAUCCCCGGGCUCAACCCGGGAACUGCGUCCGAUACUGGCAGGCUUGAAUUCGGGAGAGGGAUGCGGAAUUCCAGGUGUAGCGGUGAAAUGCGUAGAUAUCUGGAGGAACACCGGUGGCGAAGGCGGCAUCCUGGACCGAGAUUGACGCUGAGGCGCGAAAGCCAGGGGAGCAAACGGG